rnacentral:rRNA from 1 species
ACGGCUCAGUAACACGUAGUCAACCUAACCUAUGGACGGGAAUAACCUCGGGAAACUGAGAAUAAUGCCCGAUAGAACACUAUACCUGGAAUGGUUUGUGUUCCAAAUGAUUUAUCGCCGUAGGAUGGGACUGCGGCCUAUCAGUUUGUUGGUGAGGUAAUGGCCCACCAAGACUAUUACAGGUACGGGCUCUGAGAGGAGUAGCCCGGAGAUGGGUACUGAGACACGGACCCAGGCCCUAUGGGGCGCAGCAGGCGAGAAAACUUUGCAAUGUGCGAAAGCACGACAAGGUUAAUCCGAGUGGUUUGUGCUAAACGAACCUUUUGUCGGUCCUAGAAACACCGAUGAAUAAGGGGUGGGCAAGUUCUGGUGUCAGCCGCCGCGGUAAAACCAGCACCUCAAGUGGUCAGGAUGAUUAUUGGGCCUAAAGCAUCCGUAGCCGGCUCUGUAAGUUUUCGGUUAAAUCUGUACGCUCAGCGUACAGGCUGCCGGGAAUACUGCAGAGCUAGGGAGUGGGAGAGGUAGACGGUACUCGGUAGGAAGGGGUAAAAUCCUUUGAUCUAUUGAUGACCACCUGUGGCGAAGGCGGUCUACCAGAACACGUCCGACGGUGAGGGAUGAAAGCUGGGGGAGCAAACCGGAUUAGAUACCCGGGUAGUCCCAGCUGUAAACUAUGCAAACUCAGUGAUGCAUUGGCUUGUGGCCAAUGCAGUGCUGCAGGGAAGCCGUUAAGUUUGCCGCCUGGGAAGUACGUACGCAAGUAUGAAACUUAAAGGAAUUGGCGGGGGAG